GAUGAACGCUGGCGGCGUGCCUAAUACAUGCAAGUCGAGCGAACAGACGAGGAGCUUGCUCCUUUGACGUUAGCGGCGGACGGGUGAGUAACACGUGGAUAACCUACCUAUAAGACUGGGAUAACUUCGGGAAACCGGAGCUAAUACCGGAUAACAUGUUGAACCGCAUGGUUCAACAGUGAAAGACGGUCUUGCUGUCACUUAUAGAUGGAUCCGCGCCGCAUUAGCUAGUUGGUAAGGUAACGGCUUACCAAGGCAACGAUGCGUAGCCGACCUGAGAGGGUGAUCGGCCACACUGGAACUGAGACACGGUCCAGACUCCUACGGGGGGCAGCAGUAGGGAAUCUUCCGCAAUGGGCGAAAGCCUGACGGAGCAACGCCGCGUGAGUGAAGAAGGUCUUCGGAUCGUAAAACUCUGUUAUUAGGGAAGAACAAAUGUGUAAGUAACUAUGCACGUCUUGACGGUACCUAAUCAGAAAGCCACGGCUAACUACGUG
rnacentral:rRNA from 1 species